rnacentral:sRNA from 2 species
GCCGAGGGAUCCCCAGAACCAGACAUGGCAGGAGCGGGGGAACCACCUUCGGGCGCCAGCGAUGGCGUCCUCGGGGUGAAGCCCGAGGGACCUCGGUCCCGACGGCCGGGUGCUUUCUCCCACCCGAACCCGACAGCUCACUUCGUAGGCGACAGGAGAGGGAACAC